UACGGGGGGAGCAAGCGUUGUUCGGAUUUACUGGGCGUGAAGGGCGCGUAGGCGGUCAGCACAAGUCAGUUGUGAAAUCUCCGGGCUUAACUCGGAAAGGUCAACUGAUACUGUGCGACUAGAGUGCAGAAGGGGCAACUGGAAUUCUCGGUGUAGCGGUGAAAUGCGUAGAUAUCGAGAGGAACACCUGCGGCGAAGGCGGGUUGCUGGGCUGACACUGACGCUGAGGUGCGAAAGCGUGGGGAGCAAACAGG
rnacentral:rRNA from 1 species